GAGUUUGAUCCUGGCUCAGGAUGAACGCUGACAGAAUGCUUAACACAUGCAAGUCUACUUGAACUUCGGUUUGGGUGGCGGACGGGUGAGUAACGCGUAAAGAACUUGCCUCACAGUUAGGGACAACAUUUGGAAACGAAUGCUAAUACCUGAUAUUAUGAUUUUAGGGCAUCCUAAGAUUAUGAAAGCUAUAUGCGCUGUGAGAGAGCUUUGCGUCCCAUUAGCUAGUUGGAGAGGUAACGGCUCACCAAGGCGAUGAUGGGUAGCCGGCCUGAGAGGGUGAACGGCCACAAGGGGACUGAGACACGGCCCUUACUCCUACGGGAGGCAGCAGUGGGGAAUAUUGGACAAUGGACCAAAAGUCUGAUCCAGCAAUUCUGUGUGCACGAUGACGUUUUUCGGAAUGUAAAGUGCUUUCAGUUGGGAAGAAAAAAAUGACGGUACCAACAGAAGAAGUGACGGCUAAAUACGUGCCAGCAGCCGCGGUAAUACGUAUGUCACAAGCGUUAUCCGGAUUUAUUGGGCGUAAAGCGCGUCUAGGUGGUUAUGUAAGUCUGAUGUGAAAAUGCAGGGCUCAACUCUGUAUUGCGUUGGAAACUGCAUGACUAGAGUACUGGAGAGGUAAGCGGAACUACAAGUGUAGAGGUGAAAUUCGUAGAUAUUUGUAGGAAUGCCGAUGGGGAAGCCAGCUUACUGGACAGAUACUGACGCUAAAGCGCGAAAGCGUGGGUAGCAAACAGGAUUAGAUACCCUGGUAGUCCACGCCGUAAACGAUGAUUACUAGGUGUUGGGGGUCGAACCUCAGCGCCCAAGCUAACGCGAUAAGUAAUCCGCCUGGGGAGUACGUACGCAAGUAUGAAACUCAAAGGAAUUGACGGGGACCCGCACAAGCGGUGGAGCAUGUGGUUUAA
rnacentral:rRNA from 2 species